rnacentral:rRNA from 1 species
UCGGCCGAUCGCCUUGAGUUGAUCAUGGCUCGAUUGAACGCUGGCGGAAUGCUUUACACAUGCAAGUCGAACGGCAGCACGGGGGCAACCCUGGUGGCGAGUGGCGAACGGGUGAGUAAUACAUCGGAACGUGCCCAGUCGUGGGGGAUAACUACGCGAAAGCGUAGCUAAUACCGCAUACGAUCUACGGAUGAAAGCGGGGGAUCGCAAGACCUCGCGCGAUUGGAGCGGCCGAUGGCAGAUUAGGUAGUUGGUGGGGUAAAGGCUCACCAAGCCUUCGAUCUGUAGCUGGUCUGAGAGGACGACCAGCCACACUGGGACUGAGACACGGCCCAGACUCCUACGGGAGGCAGCAGUGGGGAAUUUUGGACAAUGGGCGCAAGCCUGAUCCAGCCAUUCCGCGUGCAGGAUGAAGGCCCUCGGGUUGUAAACUGCUUUUGUACGGAACGAAACGGCGCUUUCUAAUACAGGGCGCUAAUGACGGUACCGUAAGAAUAAGCACCGGCUAACUACGUGCCAGCAGCCGCGGUAAUACGUAGGGUGCAAGCGUUAAUCGGAAUUACUGGGCGUAAAGCGUGCGCAGGCGGUGAUGUAAGACAGAUGUGAAAUCCCCGGGCUCAACCUGGGAACUGCAUUUGUGACUGCAUCGCUGGAGUGCGGCAGAGGGGGAUGGAAUUCCGCGUGUAGCAGUGAAAUGCGUAGAUAUGCGGAGGAACACCGAUGGCGAAGGCAAUCCCCUGGGCCUGCACUGACGCUCAUGCACGAAAGCGUGG